ACGUUCAGCAAGCCAACCUGAGGAGGGAAGAUCAAAACCAAGCUACAUGAAUAGGAUUUCUUGCAGAGUUUAACGAGAGAGUAGAUCAUAUCCAAGAAUUCUGUGAGCCUGAGAUUGUGGCCUCUCAUUAUCCAUUUCAAUAUCAACUACUACACCACGUUCGUGAGCUUCCACUGAUGCUAAAAGAGAACACCAAACCAAAGAGAUUACAAAAAACAAAAAAACUCUCCUGUUGGGGUUGAUCAGUGAAGGAGUUAUGAGAAUUCUAAUGUAAGGUGUUCUUUCAAUUGGGAGCUGAACCAGAUUACACCAGAGCCUAUGUUCUGUUUUUUUUUUUUUUUAAUUUGUGAGCCCCAAGCUUCUUUUGGAAGAAAGCAUCUGUGACAGUGCCUGGUGAAAGGAAAAGGGGAAGAAGGUUGCAUUUGUUGAACUCGAUAUUUUCUGGGUUUCCUGACGGCUUUGGGCCCUUUUUUUGCCCAUUUCAGCGACAGAAAUGGGCUUAGUGGCUUCAUGUCGGCCCUGAAAACACUCCUUCAAAUAAGCUUUUUCAGGGGAGUGGGAAUUAGAGGGAAUGUCAUAUUUUCACCCUCAUUCUCAAAUACAAUCCAACCAACUAUUCGACUUUUUAAAACCUUAGAUCGAUCAAGACUCGAGUUUGGUAACGAACUUGAAUCGGUCUAGAGUUGUAGAAAAUCGGAUUGUUACAUAUUGUUGUAUCCUAAUGUCAUAGCCAAAAUGUUU